UACGAAGGGGGCUAGCGUUGUUCGGAAUUACUGGGCGUAAAGCGCACGUAGGCGGAUUGGUCAGUUAGGGGUGAAAUCCCAGGGCUCAACCCUGGAACUGCCUUUAAUACUGCCAAUCUAGAGUCCGAGAGAGAUGAGUGGAAUUCCGAGUGUAGAGGUGAAAUUCGUAGAUAUUCGGAGGAACACCAGUGGCGAAGGCGGCUCACUGGCUCGGUACUGACGCUGAGGUGCGAAAGCGUGGGGAGCAAACAGG
rnacentral:rRNA from 1 species